UUUGAAACCGUCUUUUUACAAGAAAGUCUUAAUUAUUUCAGAAGCACUCUUACUGAUGUGACUACAAGGAUAUUGGCAAAAUAAUUUUUCUGCAACAGAUUCCUGCACUCAGAGCAAAGGAACCCAGAUCCUGGUGUGGUAUCAAGUCCCAGCAGAAGUCUUGUAAUAGAAAUCAUAUAAUCUUUCACAAAUGACUGCAAGAUUUUUAGCAGGAGAGACAGAGAAGAAAGAAAACUUCAAUGAAGUGAUGAGCAGAUCAUCUUAAAAUGCAAUUCUAACUAUGCCAAAGUCUCAGAGACAUCCCUUCAAUAUUCAGUAAAGUUAUGCCUAAUGUGAGCAAGUAAUUCCUGGUGGCUGGUGCCAGCUUCUGUUGGAAAAACUACUCAGAAAAUUCAAGAAUGUUAAUUGUUUUAAAUAGUUUAUGUAUUUACCAACGGCUUACUGUGUUUUUGUUCACAAAGAAACUUCUUUUAUGGAAAAGAGUAUACAACACAAUUUGAUGGUUCGUGGAAUACGACAGCCCAGAACCCAUCUGCUGCUGAAGCCAACUGCAACAUUUAUUAGGAAUUAUGCUAUGCAAGUGCAGUUACCUUUUUUCUGAGAGAGAAAUGCAAAAGUAGUAAAAUGGAUGUUACCUUAUCGGGGAAAGAUGGGUAAGAAACAGACAAUGAAAGACGCCAAAAAAAGAAAAACCUAAAUGAAGCUCCACCAUGGAGAGAAAAGGAAGAUUAGAAAACUGCCUGCAACCAGGCACAGAUCUAAGAAUAGUUUCCUGAAUCAGGGUCCUAUUACAUUCAGCUAAGAACAACUCUAUGUUUGUAACUUAUAAAUGAACAGGAUCCUUCAAAAUAAAGAGCUGAUCAAACCCUGCUCCUAAAAAAACAUAACCUAUAAGGUUUCAAAACUGGACACUAUGCUUAUGUUGAAAAUAUAUCUUCCAGAAAAAAAAAAAAGACCUACAUCAUUCCAAUCAUAUUUAUUAUUAAGUAGUACCAUAUGAAUUUCUGGAAAACUAUUCCUUUGAAACUGAGAUUCGGUGGUACAGAACCCUGGCUGGUUUUGUGGCAGGCAGAUCAGAGGAAUGAUUGCAUCUCCUCUCCACUUUGAAGAAUAAAAACAGGCAUCUACAAGCACAGAGAUGGAACGUAUGCCCCUCAGCCAGCAAAGAGUGAGCAUCUUUCUAGAAGGGGAGAGAGGAAGGAGAAAAGAGAGACCUCGAGGAUGAACAGACAAGAAACAGAGGGUUUCAGCUGGUAACAGACCUGAAAUUCACAGACCACAGAUGGAAAACAGUCGAUGUAAAUCUGCGUGCAGGAGCUGAAAGCAACUGUAAGUAUGAAGUUGCAGUGAACUGGAAGUGUGCAGAAAAUUAUUUCCAGGAUCCUAAUCGAGGGCAAGUAACCUCCCAAAAUGAACUAUCUUGAUCACUUGCUAUUGUGUGGCCAUAUUUUAAGGCUGCUUCAACUGUAUUAUAAUGUUAGGGUAUUCUAUUCAUAGUCAACGUCCAUUCAGCUGAAGAGAGUGCAAGCAACACCUUUGGCAAUAUCUGUAUUACACAUUAAUUAGAAGAUAGCACUAGAAACGUAAUUCACCAAAACCAAAUUCGGACCAUUUGUUUAAGGUUGCAAAGAAAAAGAAUAAUAUAAAAUAAAGGCAUACUUGUAAUAUUGCUCCUUUGACUAAUUAUUACAAAGUAACAAUUUAUCUUAGGGUCCCCACAGGUUUGUUGUCUCUUUCAUUAAACGUUUCAUGAAAGUAGGUCUAAUAUUUGAAAUAUUCCAUUUGACAGUAUUUCUGUGCAGAGUAUGCUUUUCAUACUAGUAGCAAAAUAACGUGGCAUGGAGUAACAUGUUAGUAUUAGAAGAGAUCCUUGAAUACAGAAAUACAAGAAUCUCAACAGAAUCCUAUAGUAAGGUGGACAAACAAACUCAAAUUUCUUUUUUUUUUUAAGAAUGGACUUUGUUCAGUUAGCAGAAAAGAAAACUAGCAUCAGAAGAGACUGCUAUGGUAACUUGCAGAGCUGGAGGAGAGGAGUGCUGCUAUGACAGCCUCAUGUAAAGUGGGAUCCUGUUUGUGUUGUGGGGAAACAACUGUGCAGCCUACCCCCACACCGCAGCUGUGCCUAGCCCUGGCAGAGGACAACACCUGAAGAUCUGGAAAGCCAUUUCUGCUAGCCAUUUGCAGUCCCAGGUUCUUAUUUUGUGGUUCAUGUUUUUUAUUUCUAUAUGUGUCCGGAGAUCUUGAAUGAUUAUUAACAAAAUAACUACAAGUAACUAUUCAUUUUCCACUAGUCCUUAGGCAUAAUUUUCCAACUAUAAUUAUGCUCUGUAAUACUGUCAUGCUAUAACUCCACUAUCAAUGUUUUCCAAGGCCUAUUUCUAUAUAUUUCAUCAAGCAGACACACAGUCUUGAAAUUGAAAUUUCUAUAUCUAAAGAGGUGCUGUGGUUUGUGCAGGUGCUUAUGCACUAUUUUCUACUGAGACCAGGCCACACUUCCUCCAUAGAACGUAACUUUAGUAAAGUUUAGGACAGUCAAACAACUGGUAUCGGGGAAGUACUUGGCAGAAGUUUGACCUAGAGCUGGCAAAAGUAUUGUCAUGGAGCGGUCCAAAGAGAAAAUGUAUAGAGAAUAUUUUGUUUAUUUUACCCAUCAAAAUCCUAGCUGGUAAAAUAAGAAAAGUUGUGGGUUUUUUUUCUUAUGCGAGUGGAAAGUAAAAUGUAGGUAUAAGUUGCCAAGAUCCACA